rnacentral:lncRNA from 1 species
ACCGUCGCGUCGAUCCCUGUGUUGUACUUAGUAAGUGCACACUGAAGUCCAGCUGCGUCGCAAAAUUAUAGGUGGAGAAGAUUGUCGGAGUAAUUUAAAGUUAAUUUUGCAAACCUAAUUAUCGCAUAGUUUUUCUUGUGCAAUUUCUGCCUGCCCUACUAGUUGUACUACCGUAACAAUGUGAGUCUGUUCUUUUUCUCUUUUCGUCUUCCUUUGAUUUUUCCCUUUCUUCUUUACUCAUUUUUCUUGUUAGUGUCGUCUCUAGGAAUCCCUGUUAAUGAAUGAUUUAGGUGAGUUCGACUCUUUAAUUGAUUGUAGCUAGCGUUGUAGAAGGUACUGCUUCCGUCGUCAUUCGCUGUACGAGUCUGUCUUUGACCUACGUGAAAUGGCACCGUGAAGCCAGCGGCUGCCCGGUCAGUUCUGUGUUGCUCAGGCCUGUUAUUCAGGUGAGUUUGGGUCGCCGGGAGUCGGACACUUCUCCUACCUUGACAUGGAUUCUAGGAUGCUCUUGCAAGUGAAUUUGGAAAAAUGGGAUCCUGGCUCGGGAUCAAACCUACCCCCACUGACUCUUGUCGCGCCAUGCUUACUUCUGUCGAUGGUACACGAGCUUGCGUGUAGGACAGAUGAUUUUUCGAUGUCAUCUUCAUGCUGAUGCAUGUAAAAUUGAGAAUCCAGCCAUCAAAGCUACUCUGACUGAAGAUUGAUGUGUCCGCAAAGUGCUGUGCUCUCCGACAACACGAAGUCGUCCUCAAGCUACGACAAGUGAUUGUUUCCCUCUAGAAAUCGAAUUGUUACUAAUUCGUUUCGACUGCCGCAUUGGCUCUUAUGAUGAGUCCUUCGUCGCGAAAAACUGCAAAUGGUGACAUGAUUGUAGAGUACUUGCUUGUCACGGGGCUAUAUCUACCUAUCCUGUCUUCCAGGGGGGCCUAUAUUAGAGGUCGUGCCAUCGAAAGUGUCUGAACUUUUCUUCAAUGAGUAAUUCAAUACCUUGAAGGUUUUUCUCUUUUUCUGAUUAAGGGACUAGAAUUUUCGAGCAUGGUUUAGUGUUCAGACUUCAGUUAAGCACACGAAAGAUUUGUUGAUAUGGACACUAACACGGUUAUGUAAAUUGUUCGAUAUCUUGACGAUAGAUUGUUGUGUGCGGAGGAGAAAAUAAGGAGAAACUCGUGGGGGUGAAAAGAUUGGUUUUCUUCAACAUACAUCC